GGUUAAUGCGGCUCUUAAGCAGAGCUUCAUGAGAUCUGGCCAUAGUAACUGCUUUUAACUUGAUUUAAAGUUCUUAAACAUUCUGAAUUGCUUCACCUAAUCUUUUUAUACUGAACGUACAAUUUUCAGGCUCUUUUUUAUUUUCAAAUCCAUAACUGACAGCUGCUCAACACCUCAUUCAAAUAGUUUUAAGAGUUUUAGAGAAAAGUUGCGACAGCCUGGAUUUACUGACAUCAGUUGGAUUGAGAUAUUGUGGAUUUAAAGCUGAUAGAGAGGGAGAAAGAAAAAUAUGAAAUAAUUAUUGCAUGUUCACUGCUUGCCCAAUGACAGUGAUUUGAAGCCUAAUAACGAACCAAACUGAGAGAUUAGCAGAAGGACAUUGGAGUUAACUUUCAAAACUUAACAUUAAAAAUGAAUGUUCCAUUUGGAAACAGAAUUUUCAUGUGUGGUCCCAUUCAUUUUAUGACAUUUUAAAGAAUACUGAUGCACAGAAAUGCAUAGAUAACAAAAACUCACCACAAAUUUUUUCUUGAGAUAUAUUCUACAGAUUCUGAGACUAUAAACUCCUGAAAGGAGUGAACUCUUUAGGAGAAUCUGUGAUGUCUAGUGCACAGCUAUAUUUCUCAACUGAAAUCAACCAUUUUAUAGGAGAAGCAGAAUCAUAAGUUUCCCACCUUUACUUCUCAUGACAAAUGGAACCUACUCCACGACUCAACUCAAGAAGGCUGUGUGCUAUAAUACCUUGGACUUUGAAGAAGCAUUAUAUUUAUGUCUCUAUACCCUUUACACUUGGACGUGAAGUUGGCAAACUUUGGGAGAUGGUGCUGCUGCAGUUUAUUUAUAACCAAUGCAUUAAAAUGAAAAAUACUGAAAGGGUCCUAAGUGGAAGGCGGCUAUUGAAAUAUUGCUGUAUUUAAAUUAUAGAAUUUUGUCAGGCUGAUUUGUGGAAAGGACGAGUCAAUGUUGGCUGGUAAGUGAUGUACUCACUGGCUUCCUGUAAGUUUGGAAGGUGCUUUCUGCAGUGUGCGAGAGAGUCGUGCAAAAUCUGGGUCUUGCAAUUGAAUUGAUUGCUCCCUUGCAUAUUUAUAAUCAGAUUGAUAUUUGGCCAGCUUUCAUGCUCCUUGACAUUUCCGAAGUAUGACAUGUGUUAGAACUGCCUUGGUCUUCUAGAUUCACUGCAGCACAAAGACUGGAGAUCCUUCACUGAAAGAACUGUCAAUAAGGUCUCAUUUAACCCCUUUCGUCCCAGUCCAAGUUUGGGCUCACACGUGGGGAAGGUAAAUGGCUCCUUUAAUAUUGUGCAGCACAUUGAAAUUCUUGUUGAUUUGUAUUUCUACUGCAUUUUCUCCUUCCUGAAAAAUCUCGCCAGAGACUGAAGUAGUUGGGCUGUAUUAAUGGAUGUUUAUGUUGUCCUGUGACAGCUGGUUUUGCUAAUUUGUUUUUACAGGGCAGUUUAUAGUAAAUGAAUGGCAUGCUGAAUAUUUUACUGAGAUUUCAGAUUAUCUAAAGAAUAUUUUCCGGUUUACUAAUUGGUAGAUAAUGCUGAGUACAUUGAUGUUGACAUGAGCAAAUGGAUUUAAAAUGAUUUGAAGUGAGCUUCAUUAAAAGAUGUUCUAAUCACAGUCAGCAGGAAAUGUCAAACUAGUUCUGCCUUCGUUCACUCUGGUGGGCCAGAACCCUUGUAGACUCGAGGUGCUACAAGCCCCCAUGGUCCUGGUUUUAGGGUGAUCUGGGCUGAGAGCAGUGAUAGAGGCUUUUUCAUAGCAUUUUUGACUCUUAAAGCAAAUAACGUAUCAAUUAUUAAUUACCUGUAUGGUUAAAUGAACAUUCUUUGAAAAUCAUGGUUUUACUGCUGGAGUCCCAUAAUGCAUUAUGGAU
rnacentral:lncRNA from 1 species